GGGGGCGGGGCCUGUCAUGGCGGCCUCGAGAGUCAAUUCUAGGAACCCUGAGGAUGAACUGACCCUUUUAUUCACUAUUCCACAUGGAGCUGCAAACCCAUCAGAUGGAACCAUGUGAUCAUUGUGGCCGCCAGCUGACCCCACAGCCACCUUCUGCCUCCCUUGGGCCCAUCCAGGAAUUUCUGAGCCUUCUUUAUGGCUCUUGGUACUCCAGCCAGGCGUCAGGGCUGUGCCUCUGAGGUGGGAGAGCCAAGUUCAAGACACUGGUCCACAAGAGACCUCCCAGCUCCACAUAAUAUCAAACGGCAAAAAUCUUCCACAGAUCUCCAUCUCAACGCCAAGACACAGCUCCACUCAACGACCAGCAAGCUACAGUACUGGACACCCUAUGACAAACAACUAGCAAGACAGGAACACAACCCGAUCCAUUAGCAGAGAGGCUGCCUGAAAUCAUAAUAAGGCCACAGACACCCCAAAACCCACCACAAGACGUGGACCUGUCCACUGAAAAGACAAGAUCCAGCCUCAUCCACCAGAACACAGGCACUAGUCCACUCCACCAGGAAGCCUACACAACCCACUGAACCAAGCUUAGCGACUGGGGACAGACACCAAAAACAAUGGGAACUACAAACCUGCAGCCUGUGAAAAGGAGACCCCAAACACAGUAAGUUAAGCAAAAUGAGAUGACAGAGAAACACACAGCAGAUGAAGGAGCAAGGCAAAAACCCACCAGACCUAACAAAUGAAGAGGGAAUAGGCAGUCCAUCUGAAAAAGAAUUCAGAAUAAUGAUAGUAAAGAUGAUCCAAAAUCUUGGAAAUAGAAUGGAGAAAAUACAAGAAACGUUUAACAAGGACCUAGAAGAACGAAAGAGCAAACAAACAGUGAUGAACAACACAAUAAAUGAAAUUUAAAAUUCUCUACAAGGGCUCAAUAGCAGAAUAACUGAGGCAGAAGAACGGGUAAGUGAUCUGGAAGAUAAAAUAGUGGAAAUAACUACUGCAGAGCAGAAUAAAGAAAAAAGAAUGAAAAGAAUUGAGGACAGUCUCAGAGAC